UACGUAGGGGGCUAGCGUUGUCCGGAAUCAUUGGGCGUAAAGCGCACGUAGGCGGCUUUGCCAGUCAGGGGUGAAAUCCCGGGGCUCAACCUCGGAACUGCCUCUGAUACAGCAAGUCUUGAGUCCGGAAGAGGUGGGUGGAAUUCCUAGUGUAGAGGUGAAAUUCGUAGAUAUUCGGAAGAACACCAGUGGCGAAGGCGGCUCACUGGCCCGGUACUGACGCUGAGAUACGAAAGCGUGGGGAGCAAACAGG
rnacentral:rRNA from 1 species